UACGUAGGGGGCAAGCGUUGUCCGGAAUCAUUGGGCGUAAAGCGCGCGUAGGCGGCCCGGUAAGUCCGCUGUAAAAGUCCAGGGCUCAACCCUGGAAAGCCGGUGGAUACUGUCGGGCUAGAGUCCGGAAGAGGCGAGUGGAAUUCCUGGUGUAGCGGUGGGAAUGCGCAGAUAUCAGGAGGAACACCGGUGGCGAAGGCGGCAUCCUGGACCGACAUUGACGCUGAGGAGCGAAAGCUAGGGGAGCAAACGGG
rnacentral:rRNA from 1 species